rnacentral:rRNA from 1 species
GCCCAGUCAUACUCUUUAGAGUCGGGGUUGCUUGGGAUCGCAGCCCAAAGUCGGGUGGUAAGCUUCAUCUUAGUACUUUAUUUAUGCCACCAGUCCGUUUAUUUCAAAAAGACCCGGAGGAAGUUGCAAGCACUUUGAAGAGAGAGUUAAAGAGGACGUGAACCGGUGAGGAGGAAACGGAUAGAGUCGGCGUAUCUUGCAAGUAUUCAAUUACUUUAUUAUUGUGUUGUUAUCUCUGAGCUCCAGAUUGGGACAGAGGAAAGCAGCAUGAUUUAAUGUGAUGCAUUUACUUGUUUGGUGUGUGGGGGUAUCUAAGAUGGAUUUGCAACCAAUGUUUUGAGGCCAGCUUGCUGGUACCCAAACAUUGUUAACAUUUUUUAUCUUGGAUAUUCGAGUACGGCUUACGUGCAUUUUUUGUAUUGAUCUAAGUGCAAGUUACGGUCGCAUGCGACACGUGCUUUUCAUUUAGUUCGGUGCAGUUAAUGCUCUCGUACUCUCCCCCCAUGUAAAAGCCGGUCAUCUAUUUGACCCGUCUUGAAACACGGACCAAGGAGUUUAUCGUGUGCGCAAGUUUUUGGGUGUUAAAAACCUAGAAGCGAAAUGAAAGUAAAUGAUUCUUUAGAGUCUGAUGUGCAAUCUUUUUUCAGAAAAGUGCAUCAUGGCCCCAUUCUAACUGUUUACAGUAGGGUGGCGGAAGAGCGUACGCGGUGAGACCCGAAAGAUGGUGAACUAUUCCUGAGCAGGACGAAGCCAGAGGAAACUCUGGUGGAAGUCCGAAGCGGUUCUGACGUGCAAAUCGAUCGUCUGACUUGGGUAUAUCCACUGAAUACCCUACAAAUUGUUGCCC